GUGACUUCACGGAGCCUCCCAAAACAGAAGGAGCACUUCCUGCCAAGGGAGAGUGAGAUGGGGUCUCGUCUAGCCAAGUGCCGGCCAUAAGUAGGGUACACUUUGUGGAUAUCAGCAGACACUUCCCAUGUGGCUCUCAUGUCAUGCCAGAACCACGGUCAAAAAGGGCACUAAACCCACCCCAGGUUUCUCCAGCUAAUUAGUUACCACACAAAGCAGAACAGCAUGGAUCAUUACCUAUGAGCAGUGUAAAAUAAACGCACUUGUCGGGGAAUCGAAGCAGAUCCUCAAAUCUGCCCCCGCAACCCCCAAAUAUUUCCACUCAAUGCAACAUCCCAGUCCUCUCUGUCUCUGCCCUGCCAGAAGCCGGCCCUCCGACUUUGGCUGGGGUCUGAUGUUCAAGAGUUAAACAGCAGGAACAUCUAGUGGCUGUCACUGCUGAUCUCCCCAUCUGUGUCUGGAGCCCCGACCUCUCCGUGACUUCAGGCAGCAAGAGAAACAGAAGCACGGGAAGGCGAUGGUGGCAGCAGCAUGAACGGAGAAGGUGAGAGGCCUCCGCCACCUUGCGCGGCCUUGUGUCACUUACAAGGCUCCAGUGUAUCCCGGCGGGCAGCGGCAUUCCCCCGUGACGUGGUCACAGGUGGCUCCAUUCUGACACUGGCAUCGCUGGCGACAGUCAUUACCGUAGGUGCCCUGCUCGCAGCGGUCCUCGCAGCGCCAGCCCCGGAAACCUGCAGCACAGUGGCAAGCCCCCGUGAUGGGGUUGCACAGAGCCCCGUUUUUGCACUGGCACCGGCUGCUGCAGUGGGGCCCCCAGUGAUCACCAUCACAGGCUGAAGAGGGGGAAAAACAAUGGAGGGUGUCAGAGUAUGGAUGCGGGUAAGAGCAAGCUCUUCAGAACCCGCUUUCCUCUCCCCUUGACGAGAUGGCUUCAUGACCCCUUCACUGCUACUCCUUAGCUGGACAUCGAGGCUCUGACACCAGCCAGGCAACGCUUCAUAAAUGUGACCAGCACUAAGUGGGCCACUUCCAAUCACUCCAUCGCUCAAGCAGAGCUACGUUUUCCAGCUUCAUGACUUUGCUUGGCCUGUUUCCUGCACCCAGAGUGUUGAGUUUGAUGUGGCUAGAGUCAAUGGCUAGGGGAGAUAGAAUACAUUGAGAUCCAGGAAGACUGUCUGUACAUCACAGACAGGAAUCCAUCCGUCCAUGGACAAAGUAAACGGUCAGAUUAAAUCUCCAAGGGAAGCCUUUGUAAACCUG